rnacentral:rRNA from 1 species
UACGUAGGGGGGCAAGCGUUGUCCGGAAUCAUUGGGCGUAAAGCGCGUGUAGGCGGUUCGGUAAGUCUGCUGUGAAAGUCCAGGGCUCAACCCUGGGAUGCCGGUGGAUACUGUCGGACUAGAGUACGGAAGAGGCGAGUGGAAUUCCCGGUGUAGCGGUGAAAUGCGCAGAUAUCGGGAGGAACACCAAUUGCGAAGGCAGCUCGCUGGGACGUCACUGACGCUGAGACGCGAAAGCGUGGGGAGCAACAGGAUAGAAACCCCGG